GACGAACCGAGCGAACGUUAUUCGGAAUCACUGGGCUUAAAGGGCGCGUAGGCGGGCUGUCAAGUUUGGGGUGAAAUCCCACGGCUCAACCGUGGAACUGCCUCAAAUACUGACGGCCUCGAGGAAGGUAGGGGCAUGCGGAACUGUAGGUGGAGCGGUGAAAUGCGUUGAUAUCUACAGGAACUCCGGUGGCGAAAGCGGCGUGCUGGACCUUUUCUGACGCUGAGGCGCGAAAGCUAGGGGAGCAAACGGG
rnacentral:rRNA from 1 species